AAUGCGUAGGAAUCUACCUAGUAGUACGGAAUAGCCAUUAGAAAUGGUGGGUAAUACUGUAUAAUCCCCGAGGGGGAAAGAUUUAUCGCUAUUAGAUGAGCCUACGUUAGAUUAGCUAGUUGGUGAGGUAAUGGCUUACCAAGGCUAUGAUCUAUAGCUGGUCUGAGAGGACGAUCAGCCACACUGGAACUGAGAUACGGUCCAGACUCCUACGGGAGGCAGCAGUGGGGAAUAUUGGACAAUGGGCGAAAGCCUGAUCCAGCUAUGCCGCGUGAGUGAAGAAGGCCUUCGGGUUGUAAAACUCUUUCAAUAGGGAAGAUAAUGACGGUACCUAUAGAAGAAGUCCCGGCAAACUCUGUGCCAGCAGCCGCGGUAAUACGGAGGGGGCAAGCGUUGUUCGGAAUUAUUGGGCGUAAAGGGCACGUAGGUGGACUAGUAAGUUAAAAGUGAAAUACCAAAGCUUAACUUUGGAGCGGCUUUUAAUACUGCUAGACUAGAGGUCGAAAGAGGAAG
rnacentral:rRNA from 1 species